CUCCACUACAUUUCCUAAAUAAAUUGUAUACUUUUACUCAGAUACAUUUUCCCAAAGCAUUUUCGUUACUUACUACAAAAUAAAGUCGGAAGAACACAGACUGCAAAGCAAGCAUGUGCAAACAAGUGCUCGCACAACCGCGGUUGAUUUCAUUUUCCGGGUUGCGUCCGUUGCUGGAGCAUCUGAGAAUUGCGCUGUCAUUACAAGACAUUACGAGAGCGGCCUCUAGAGGCGAAAUAAAAACUAUCACUGAUGCCUCGUAUAGUUUGUUUUGACACGUGAUGUGAGGCUGCGCGCUGCACAGAGCGGGUCACUUCAAAAACGAUUUAAAACGGACAACAAAACGUGUUGGCAGGAGCUGACAGGAUGAUGCUUGUACCAACUUCAAAGACUUCUUGCAAAAUCCAUCUCAAGUUCUUUAUCUAAAUUUAAUUAUGCCUAGAAAUGGAAUUAAUCAAAGAAAAGCUGAUUCAUCCAGGCCUUGAAGAAUGAUCUCAUUCCUUCUCUGCUGUGUGUCCUCCCCUCCGUCUAGCUCUCUUAAAGAAACAACCAACGCUUUUCAAAUCAAAACAAGGGCCUCCCUUUGGCUGUGUG